AAGUCGUAACAAGGUCUCCGUAGGUGAACCUGCGGAGGGAUCAUUACCGAGUUCAUGCCCUUACGGGUAGAUCUCCCACCCUAUGUUAUAUUCCCUUUGUUGCUUUGGCAGGCCGUCAGGCUUCGGUCAGGCUACCGGCUCCGGCUGGUAAGCGCCCGCCAGAGGACCCCAAACUCUGAAUAUUAGUGUCGUCUGAGUACCAUAAAAUAGUUAAAACUUUCAACAACGGAUCUCUUGGUUCUGGCAUCGAUGAAGAACGCAGCGAAAUGCGAUAAGUAAUGUGAAUUGCAGAAUCCGUGAGUCAUCGAAUCUUUGAACGCAUAUUGCGCCCUUUGGCAUUCCGAAGGGCAUGUCUGUUCGAGCGUCAUUAUCACCUCUCAAGCCCGGCUUGCUGUUGAAUCUCGAUUAUAUUAUCGGUGUAAUCGAUUCUAAAGAUAACGACGGUGUCUAUGAAGACCCCUAGUACACUGAGCCCUUUUAUGGCACGUAUUUGGCGGGAGUCUCGACCCGGUCUUACCCACAUUUAAAUCAAGGUUGACCUCGAAUCAGAUAGGAAUACCCGCUGAACUUAAGCAUAUCAAUAAGCGGAGGAAAAGAAACCAACAGGGAUUGCCUCAGUAACGGCGAGUGAAGCGGCAACAGCUCAAAUUUGAAAUCUGGCCUUUUAGGUCCGAGUUGUAAUUUGUAGAGGAUGUUUUGGGUACCGCAGCUAUUUAAAUUUCUUGGAACAGAAUGUCAGAGAGGGUGAGAGUCCCGUCUGGAAUGGCAGUAGGGCCUGUGUAAAACUCCUUCGACGAGUCGAGUUGUUUGGGAAUGCAGCUCAAAAUGGGUGGUAAAUUUCGUCUAAAGCUAAAUAUUGGCCAGAGACCGAUAGCGCACAAGUAGAGUGAUCGAAAGAUGAAAAGCACUUUGAAAAGAGAGUUAAACAGUAUGUGAAAUUGUUGAAAGGGAAGCGCUUGCAACCAGACUUGAGUGUAAUGGUUCCCCCUUGCUUUUGCUUGGGCUACUCCAUUACGUCCAGGCCAACAUCGGUUUUAAGGGUUGGUUAAAGGCCUUCAGGAAUGUAUCUUCCCUCGGGAAGACUUAUAGCCUAGGGUGUCAUGCAGCCUCCUAAGACCGAGGAAUGCGCUUCGGCGAGGAUGUUGGCGUAAUGGUUGUAAGCGACC
rnacentral:rRNA from 1 species